AUUGAACGCUGGCGGCAGGCCUAACACAUGCAAGUCGAGCGGGGUUUUCGGACCUAGCGGCGGACGGGUGAGUAAUGCGUAGGAAGCUGCCCGAUAGAGGGGGAUACCAGUUGGAAACGACUGUUAAUACCGCAUAAUGUCUACGGACCAAAGUGUGGGACCUUCGGGCCACAUGCUAUCGGAUGCGCCUACGUGGGAUUAGCUAGUUGGUGAGGUAAUGGCUCACCAAGGCGACGAUCUCUAGCUGGUUUGAGGGGCUGAUCAGCCACACUGGAACUGAGACACGGGCCAGACUCCUACGGGAGGCAGCAGUGGGGAAUAUCGGACAAUGGGCGCAAGCCUGAUUCAGCCAUGCCGCGUGUGUGAAGAAGGCCUUCGGGUUGUAAAGCACUUUCAGCGAGGAGGAAGGGUGGUGUGUUAAUAGCACAUCAUUUUGACGUUACUCGCAGAAGAAGCACCGGCUAACUCUGUGUCAGCCGCCGCAGUAAAAC
rnacentral:rRNA from 1 species